rnacentral:rRNA from 1 species
UGAAGGAUUACUCUGAGUGACCCCGCUAGGGAUAUUUUUUGGCCCCUCUAAAUAUGGUGCAAAAUAAGGGGUGGGCAAGUCUGGUGCC